UUCGCAAUGCCCGAAAGGGUGACGAAGCGACGCCGCGUGUGGGAAGAAGGCCUUCGGGUUGUAAACCACUGUCGGGAGUUAAGAAAUGCAAGGGUGUUAAUAGCACCCUUGCUUGACUAAGGCUCCGGAGGAAGCUACGGCUAACUCUGUGCCAGCAGCCGCGGUAAUACAGAGGUGGCAAGCGUUGUUCGGAAUUAUUGGGCGUAAAGAGCACGUAGGCGGCCUUGAAAGUCAGUUGUGAAAUCCUUCCGCUUAACGGAAGAACUGCAUCUGAUACUCCAGGGCUCGAGUGCGGGAGGGGAGAGUGGAACUUCUGGUGGAGCGGUGAAAUGCGUAGAUAUCAGAAGGAACGCCGGCGGCGAAAGCGGCUCUCUGGUCCGUAACUGACGCUGAGUGUGCGAAAGCUAGGGGAUCAAACGGGAUUAGAUACCCCGGUAGUCCUAGCCGUAAACGAUGGGCACUAAGUAGAG
rnacentral:rRNA from 1 species